rnacentral:rRNA from 1 species
AUUGAACGCUGGCGGCAGGCCUAACACAUGCAAGUCGAACGAGUGGCGGACGGGUGAGUCAUGUCUGUGAAAUUGCCUGAAGGACGGGGUUAACUACUGGAAACGGUAGUUAAUCCCGAUUAUCAUCAGAUGCGCCCAGAUGGGAUUUGGUUGUUGGUGGGGUAACGGCGCACCAGGGCGACGAUCCCUAGCUGGUCUGAGAGGAUGACCGGCCACACUGGAACUGAGACACGGUCAAGACUCCUACGGGAGGCAGCAGUGGGGAAUAGUGCGCAAUGGGCGCAAGCCUGAUGCAACCAUGCCGCGUGUAUUAAGGAGGCCUUCGGGUUGGAAAGUACGUUCAGCGGUGAGGCGGUACCCGCAGAAGAAGCACCGGCUAACUCCGUGCCAGCAGCCGCGGUAAUAC